CAACGUUCUGACACGAGAAGAAAUCAAAACUUUCUUACAAGAAGCUGAUGACGGAGAAUAUUUAUUCGAGAAGGUUGCUUUAAUUUUUGGAAUUGCCGGAGCUUGCAGAAAGGCCGAAUUGUGUGCUAUGAGAUUUGACGAUAUACAAGAUUGUGGUAAUGUUCUGAAUAUUGUUAUACCUGACAGUAAAACCCACAAAGAAAGAAGAUUCAGUGUAGUUAAUGAAGGCUUUGGUGUUAAUACCAUUGAUUUGUAUCGACGUUAUGUUGCUUUACGACCCACAAAUUCACCAUUGGGGUUUUUUUACACUAUUAUAAAGGUAAAUGUACUCGCCAAAAUGUAGGAAUUAACACCUUUGGAAAAAUUCCCAGAAAAAUUGCAACUUUCCUCAAACUGGAAAAUCCAGCUAAAUACACAGGCUGGUCAUUCUUUUCGCCGCAGUUCGGCAACUCUCCUGCUUAACGCAGGCGGAGACAUUACUUCGUUGAAGAGGCAUGGCGGGUGGGAAUCGACCAAGGUGGCAGAAUCUUACAUACAAGAAUCUUUUGGAGAAAGAGUGAAAAUUGCUCAAAAAAUUUUUGGAGAUGAAAAGCUGGCACCGAAUGAAUUAGUUGACAAUGAAAUCGUUAUGGACAAGCCCACGAACCUAAGUUACAGUGAAGCGUGUGGCAGCUCCAGUUCUAGCUCUAGUACUAGCAAGAACACCGCUCAAAAUGUUUAUUUUGAAUAA